GACCUUAGUUGCCAGCAUUCAGUUGGGCACUCUAAGGUGACUGCCGGCUAAAAGUCGGAGGAAGGUGGGGAUGACGUCAAAUCAUCAUGCCCUUAUGACCUGGGCUACACACGUGCUACAAUGGGCGGUACAAAGGGUCGCGAACCCGGCGAGGGGGAGCCAAUCCCAAAAAGCCGCUCUCAGUUCGGAUUGCAGGCUGCAACUCGACUACGUGAAGUCGGAAUCGCUAGUAAUCGUGGAUCAGAAUGUCACGGUGAAUACGUUCCCGGGUCUU
rnacentral:rRNA from 1 species